UAGGUUGGUUUUAUACAUUUUAGGAACAUAUGAGACAUCAAUAAGCUAUACGUUGUUUCAAUCCAGAAAGUUGGGACAAUUUGAAGUAAGCAAGGGUUGCGGGGUAGUGCUUCUGGGUUAUAAUUAGAUUUUUAAUUUUUCUGAUUGGCAAUUGGUUGAGUUACUAUCAACAGAAAGGAACGUCUGGGUUAUGAUAAGAGGUUGUGGAGUCCAAAAUUUUCUCACGCAGAUGACGCCUCCAGGUGCCAGGCUUCAGAGAGAAUAGAUUGUAAAUGUUUCUGAUCAGAUUGAAGGUCUCUGUUGGUGGUAAAUGCUGGUCAGCUUUUCCUGAAUUUCAAAAGAGAAGACGGCAUAAUGAGGCAUGUUCAACACCUGCUUCCCAUAGUGGCCUCAGUCUUUCAGGUUAACUUUUGAGCACCGUGGCUGAGGGUGUCAAUUGAGAUGGUUAGGAGGGGGUGGCUUUGAUGUUUUUUUUUGGUUUACAACAUGAAAGAUGUUGAGAGAAGACAGACACCACCUCCCUCCUUGGAAGAGGACAACACUCCAGUCACCCUGCAGUUGAUCAUGGACAUGCGUCUUAAGCUCCACCAGUCCGAUGACCACCUGCUGAAGAGGUGUCAUUGUCCUAGGUAAAUACUAAGGGUGUGUCAUCUCACGCCAAGAAAAUUAAGGACACUGACACACGAGGAGUGAGUUUAGGAGCAAAGCAUUUAAUAGGCAAAAGAAAGACAAAGGGGAACAGCUGUCUUCUUGUGAGAGAGAGGGGCACCCAAAAGGGAAUUCUGGCCUGGAGUGGGAGUGAAUCGGAUUUUACAGGCAGGCUUGAGGAGAUGGUGUCUGAUUUAUGUAGGGCCCACAGGUUGGUUGGACCAGGUGUGAUAUUUACAUAGUGCCAGUGGAAGGCUGUUCACCCCACCCUCAUCCUAUUAUGCAAAUGGGCUUUCCACUUGGCCGGCACCAUGUCUUCUGCUCCUUACUGUAAACGUGCCUGGCAAAGAGAAGGGAAGAUGGAGUUGCCAUUGUGAACAUGCCCAGUCCCAGGUGUCCUAUUCCUAUUCGCACAGCUGCCGGCAUUCACCCGUGCAAGCUUCCAGCUUACUUGUCUAUGUCUGAAGCUUGAUAUUACAGGCUGCACCUUGUUAGAAAAGAAAAUAAUUUGGAGGCUGCUUUUCAUUAAAAGCCUUCCGUACCCUCACUAUCUGUCUAAAUAAUUUCUUCUUAACUCCUAUAUCACUGCCAGCCUCGGAGCCAGAAUGAGGUGACAGAGAGGCUGGGACUGUGCAGAACACAUUUUAGUAAAGAUGGCUGAGUGACAGUAGUGAUGUCCAAUUUCCGGGUGCAGCAGUGACGUCUCCCCUGGCCUCAGGGUCCAGUGUCCAGCACCAGGUGUCAGAGGUGUGAGCAGUGGCGUCUGUGCUCAGCAGCAGGGGCAGUUGUUCCUAGGAGGGACCUGAUCCAGGGUGGGCUGUGGAUUCUGUUCCUGGAUGUGUAGGUUCCAGCCUGCUUCUGUGGCCAUCUCCACAAUAAAACUAGCCCCCAAUACCAGAUAUACGACUUUAUGUGUACAUUACAGAAAUCUGUUUUCCGUAGUUUGCUCCAAGAAGUGAGUGGGAAAUGAGUCUGUGGGCGGGUGUCAGAGAGCAGCAUUCACAGGUGUUCCUUGUGCGAGAGCCACAUCCUGAAUUCUCUACCUGGCCUCCACCCCACUCUUUUCAAGCCAUGAGAGACACAUCAGAGCCCUGGGCACUGUCGCUGG
ensembl:lncRNA